rnacentral:rRNA from 1 species
AGUGAACGCUGGCGGUAGGCCUAACACAUGCAAGUCGAACGGCAGCACAGUAAGAGCUUGCUCUUACGGGUGGCGAGUGGCGGACGGGUGAGGAAUACAUCGGAAUCUACUUUUUCGUGGGGGAUAACGUAGGGAAACUUACGCUAAUACCGCAUACGACCUACGGGUGAAAGCAGGGGAUCUUCGGACCUUGCGCGAUUGAAUGAGCCGGUGUCGGAUUAGCUAGUUGGCGGGGUAACGGCCCACCAAGGCAACGAUCCGUAGCUGGUCUGAGAGGAUGAUCGGCCACACUGGAACUGAGACACGGUCCAGACUCCUACGGGAGGCAGCAGUGGGGAAUAUUGGACAAAGGGCGCAAGCCUGAUCCAGCCAUACCGCGUGGGUGAAGAAGGCCUUCGGGUUGUAAAGCCCUUUUGUUGGGAAAGAAAAGCAGCAGGUUAAUACCCCGCUGUUCUGACGGUACCCAAAGAAUAAGCACCGGCUAACUUCGUG